AGGAAAGGCGAGGCUCUGCAUCUAGAUUUACCUCGUUCUCUUUUGUCUCCGCUUUUUUUUCACAUUUCCUUGCGACCCUGGCCCUUGAGCGACAAAAAGGGGAAGCCAAGGCUGGCCCGAGGAACGGAGAGGGCACAUGGCCUAGCCACAAGUGGAGCUUCUGCUCCGCCCGAAGGGAUGCGCUGGAGCGGCCUCUUCCUUCUGCCACGGUCUUUCUUUGCCAACUAGUAGGUGAGGGCCGAAAGGCCGCGGGCCGUGGAGCUCGGGCCGGGGAGACUCUUUUCUAGCCUCUUGGGUCCCGCUCCUCCCAAUUCCCUGGAGAGGCGUCGAGCUUGCUGGGAAGUGCCCUCGGGUAAGGGGCGCGGAGCCUCCUGCGGCGAUCCUCUGUCUUCGGGUCGCCUUAGCAGGACGCGGCAAGCGGGACACUGACCUGGCCGGAGUCCCGCGUUCUCUCACCAGCUGCUUUGUCCACGAGUUGCUGCUGGGCGUCAGGGGUCCCACGGCCCGGAGGGAUCUAGAGCAGGGGGGCUCGGGGUCCUUUCCAUACCCUCGGAUCCUCUCCCACUCUCUCCACGCCUCGACCCGGAGAUGAUUUCAGGCUCCAGAUCUCUUUCAUAAAUGGAAAGAGUUUUUUUGGUUUGUUUUGUCUUAAUUAUGUAGGUGUUGCAUGCUUGGAAGAGAAAAUUUAGAAAAUUAAUUGGAAAACCAUAAAGAUAGCUUUCUCGUGAUAGCCACAAGGCUUGCUCCCUCAUUCUGCUCAUAUGUCACCCCCUCAAGGAGGCCUUCCCCAGCUCUGUAAACAACCUGUGCUCGGCGUUAACUUUUCUCCCUAAUGUUUAUCACUACCUGACAUAUACGUGUUUCCCACGACUCAACGAUAAGUGUUCAUGAGGGCAGACACUUUUUAAUGCCCUAUGACAAGCACCUAGAAUUGUGCCUGGCACAUGGUAGAUGCUUAGUAAAUAUUUGUUUAAUGAAUGAAGGUAAAAAACAUUUCUAAUACGACCAUCCAGGAAUAAGUACUAUUCAUGUUUUAGUGUGUUCUUACAGUUUUACUGUUCAGACAGUUAUAUGCCUGUGAAUAUAUAUUAUAUAUGUGUGUAUAUAUAUAUAUAUAUAUAUAUAUAUAUUUUUUUUUUUUUUUUGAGACAGAGUCUCGCUCUGUCACCCAGGCUGGACUGCAGUGGCGCGAUCUUGGCUCACUGCAACCUCCGCCUCCUGGAUUCAAGCGAUUCUUCUGCCUCAGCCUCCCGAGUAGCUAGGAUUACAGGCAUGUGUCACCACGCCCGGCUAAUUUUGUAUUUUUAGUAGAGACGGGGUUUCUCCGUGUUGGUCAGGCUGGUCUCGAACUCCUGACCUCAGGUGAUCUGCCCGCCUCGGCCUCCCAAAGUGCUGAGAUUACAGACGUGAGCCACCGUGCCUGGCGGAAUUUUCAUAUUUUAAGUCCCCCACCCUUGGACAUUUAGAUUUUUUCCAUCUUUCUGUAUUUGCAGAUAUGCUUCUACGUACACCUUUAUUCAUUUGCUUGAACAUUUCCCUGAGAAAAACUAGAAAUGGAAUUGCCAGAUUACUUUGUGUACAUGUUUCCAAACUGUCCUCCAGAAAGAAUGUAAUGCUUUGAACUUCCACUUGAGAAUCAAAUGUUUACCUUCCUCUGUUCCUCCAGAUUUGGACAUUUACAGUGUUCAGCCGUUGUUGUGGCAUUCCAAUUCAAUUGGGAAACAGCUUGAUGUAGCGUCCCCAUAAGGUCCACAGUAAUUAAAUUUUUUUUUUUUUUUUUUGGUGCGGUAGUGCAAUUUCAUGGCUCACUGCAACCUCCACCUCCCAGGUUCAAGCGAUCCUCCCAUCUCAGCCUCCCUAGUAGCUGGGAUUACAGGUGCACGCCACCACACCAGGCUAAUUUUUGUAUUUUUAGUAGAGAUGGGGUUUCACCAGGUUAGCCAGGCUGGUCUUGAACUCCAGACCUCAAGGGAUCCGCCUGCCUCAGCUUUCCAAAGUGCUGGGAUUACAGGUGAGAACCACUGCACCCAUCCUAUUAAACUUUUAAAUCAUGAUAGUUACCAUGUAUAGAGUGUUUAUAUGCCAGGCAUUGAGCUAAGUCUUUUACGUCUUGCGCUCAUUCUGUGCAACAGCCCAAUGGGAGAAAUUCCAUGAAUAUAGUUACCAUUUCCUUGAUUUCUAGAGAAGCUGGAUAUGUUUUCUUUUUUUCCAGUAUUAUUUCUAUUUAUCCUUUUGUGAAUUGUCUGUUGUUAUUUUCAUUGGAAUAUUCUCUUUUUUUGACAGAGUCUCACUCUGUUGCCCAGGCUGGAGUGCAAUGGCACGAUCUCGGCUCAUUGCAAACCUCUGCCUCCUGGGUUCAAGCAAUUCUCCUGCCUCAGCCUCCCAAGUAGCUGGGAUUACAGGCACCCGCCACCACGCCCAGCUAAUUUUUUGUAUUUUUAGUAGAGACGGGGUUUUGCCAUGUUGGCCAGGCUGGUCUCGAACUCCUGACCUCAGGUGAUCCACCCAUUUCGGCCUCCCAAAGUACUGGGAUUACAGGCGUGAGCACCUGUGCCCGGCCACACCAUUAUUUUGAAGAGAAAAUUUGAUAAAAAUAAUUGGUCAGUUGUAAAGAUGGUUAACUACCCAACUGGUAAGAGAGAUUUCUAAGAGUUACAGAAUAGCAACUGCAGGAAGGAACUUGUGCCCUUAGGACUGAGGAAGUAAAAAGGAGGGAAACUUGGAAACACGAAAGAGCCCUUCCCCUUUCAAUUCAAGGUGGAGACUGGACCUCAGAAGAGGGAGUGGGUGCCCCGAGAACUCACAGCUAGCGGACAGUGGAAAGGGCAGGAGCCGGACCAAGGCUCCGGCAUGACGGGUGACUUCUUCCGAGUCUGGCUUCUGCAGCACACAGGGCUUCGCCAGCACCCAGCUCCUGCAGCAUGGGCAGCUCCUGUGACAGCAGGCGCCCGCAGCCUGCAAAGCGUCUCCAGUGCCGCCGCCUCAGUGAACCUCAACCAGCGGCACCUAGCAGCUUUCUCUGCCACCCUCUUCAGGUCUGGAUCUAAGCCCAGGGACCAGGAAACCUCUUGCUUGAGUGCUGGAACUCAGGCCAGAAGGUAUGGCUGCUGCUAUGUGCUGUGACCAGAGAAUCAGAGUUCUCUUUACUUCUUACCAGCCAACCUCUUGAAAAUGCCUUUUUGUUUUUUGUUUUUUUUUGAGACGGAGUCUCGCUCUGUUGCCCAGGCAGUGCAGUGGCUCACUGCAACCUCCGCCUCCUGAGUUCAAGUGAUUCUCCUGCCUCAGCCUCACAAGUAGGUGGGAUUACAGGCAUGUGCCACCACGCCCAGCUAAUUUUGUAUUUUUAGUAGUGACGGGGUUUCUCCAUGUUGGUCAGGUUGGUCUCAAACUCUCGACCUCAGGUGAUCCACCUGUCUCAGCCUCCCAAAGUGCUGGGAUUACAGACGUUAGCCAGAGCGCCCAGUCUAAGCCCUUUAUAGCUUAAUUCUAUAUAUUAAAUUUUCCCAGUUCAAAUUACUGUGUGCUUCCCUUCUCCUGAUUGGACCUUGCUUGAUACAAAAUUAGUACAAGGAGUGGUCUCAAGAGAUAGAUGCACAAAGAAGGGAUAUGGGGACGGAUUUGGGUAUUUGGGCUUGAGUGCAGACUGAGCUCCUUGACAAUGAGAAAUAGGAUAUGUAUUAGGGUUCUCCAGAAACAGAAUAACAGAAUCUAUAUAUACAUGUGUAUGUGUGUGUAUAUAUAUAUAUAUAGAGAGAGAGAGAGAGAGCUUUUAUGUGUGUGUAUAUGUAUAUAUAUAAACACACACACACUAAGGUAUUGCCUCACAUGAUUAUGGCAGUCGAGAAGCCCCACAAUCUGCUAUCUGCAAGCUGGAGACCCAAGGUCAGUGGUGCAGCAUUUUUUUUUCAGAUGGGGUCUCCCUCUGUUGCCCAGGCUGGACUGCAGUGGCACAAUCACAGCUCACUGCAGCCUUGACUUCCCCAGCUCAAGCAAGCUUCCCAUCUCAGCCUCCUGAACAGCUGGGACUACAGGUGGACACCACCAUACCCAGCUAAUUUGUUCUAUAUAUAUAUUUUUAUAUAGAGAUGGCCUCUCCCUGUAUGUCCUAGGCUGAUCUCGAACUCCCCUGGGCUCAAGCUAUCCGCCUGCCUCCGCCUCCUAACAGUUUUGUAAUUUUAAGGCCUGAGAGCCAAAGGCCAAUGGUGUAGAUUCCAAUUCAAGACUCAAGGCCUGAGAAUCAGGAGCACAAGACCAGGAGAUCAAUGUCCCAGUACCCAGGUCUCAAGUACUCAGGCACAGAGAGAAUUCAGCCUUCCUCUGCCUUGCUGUUCUGUUUAAUUCCAUACGGAUGGAUGAUGCCCACCCGUGGUGAGGGCCGUCUGCUUUACUCACUCAGCCAAUUCAAACGUUAAUCUCUUCUUGAGAAGCCCUCACAGACACACCCAGAAAGAAUGUUUAAGCAGCUGUCUGGGCAUGCCUUGGCCCAGUAUAGUUUAACAUGAAAUUAACCAUCACAGGGUGCUGGUUAUCCACGGCUUGCAGCGAUAUCACAAUUAAUCAAGCAGCCACCUGCAGGUGAUGAUGAAGUGCCAAUGAAAGCAUGUACCUGGUGGGAACAAGUAGCUGCUGCACUCAGCCAUUAUGGUGUCCACAGAUGUAUAAUGAUGAUUAUACAACCAUGGUAUGGGAUACAUUAUUUUUAGUGCACUUGAGCAUUUACAGUGAGAAAAUGACAAGCCCAAGUCCCUUAGCUCAGUUCAAGUCAUGGUCUGAGAACCUGAGAACUUCUGUGAUAGCUUAGAAGCAGCUCUUAUAGCCACAAUACUGUCACUGAAAAUCAAACACAAAACUUAACUGUAGAGUCGCUGAAUAAUAAUGACAGCUAAAUUCCCAGGCCCAACAAAUCUCACGUGAAGGUUACUGCGCUGAUUGGUAAAGAAGGUGAUCCUGGCCAGGCACAGUGGUGCAGUCCUGUAAUCCCAGUUACUCGGGAGGCUGAGGCAGGAGAAUCGCUUGAACCUGGGAGGUGAGGUUGCAGGGGGCCGAGAUGGCGCCACUGCACUUCCAGACUGGGCGACAGAGCGAGACUCUAUCAAAAAAACAAAACAAAACGAAAAAACAGAAGGUGAUCCUGAAAUUCAAAGUGGGGAUAUAUGUUUGGACCCAGAUGAAAUUGACAGUCUUGAUUCCUUAGGUCACUCUGAGCCUCCUUUACCAGUAGAAGUAGUUUGCCCUCAGUAUCUGAAUAGAAUAGCCUUUCUCUGCUUGAAAACCUUAGGAUAACCUUCCCAGGGGCAGAAGACCUAAAAGGGGAUGUCCAUUCUCCUGAAAACCCACCACAAUUGCGCUCCAUUGCCAGUAAACUCAUAACAACUAGGGUCAAAUCUCAACACAAUCUAUAUAUGUGUGUGUGUGGAGAGAGAGGCUGCACAAGCGUGUGCAAGAGACAGAGAGAGAGGGGAAAGAUACACGUUAUGACCCAGGAGGAAAUAGCUUAUACACUAAAAUAAUUCACUUUGCUGAUAUAAACUAGCAGAAACCUGGGGGAUAGAUGCAAGAGUAGAUUCUAAGGAUAGCAUACCAAAGUGGACAGAAUAUAAAAAGAGAUGAGAUUAGACCGGGUGCAGUAGCUCAUGCCUGUAGUCCCAGCACUUUAGGAGGCAGAGGCUGGAGGAUCAUCACUUGAGCCCAGGAGUUUGUUAUCAGUUUGGGCAACAUAGUUGAAACAUAAAAUACAAAAAUUAGCGGGGUGUUGUGGUGAGCACCUAUAGUCCCAGCUACUCAGAAAGCUGAGGUGGGAGGGUCGCUUGAGCCUGAGAGGUCAAGGCUGCAGUGAACUGUGAUCAUGCCACUGCACUUCAGCCUGCGUGACAGAACAAGACUCUGUCACACACACACACAAAAUGAGAAAUCAAAUUCAAUGAUAUAGGUGCAUUUAGUAGACUUCAAAUUUAAUGUUAGCGUGUGUGGCUGUUGGUGGCUUUUUAGCAGUUUACUCCAUUGGUUGGCUGAAAUUUGGACUCAUUGGUGGCCUUCAGUUAACAAGGUUGAGAUGGCUGAAGUGGCAUGACAGGAAAGAAGGAAACCAAAGGCUCCUUUUCCUUAGGGAGAUGGAAAUGUUGAGUGGCCUUAUCAUGCAUGACCUGUGUACCCACCCCAUCCCCAGCUAUCUUUUACCAGUAGACACUGGCUUCACUAAGUCUCUGAGAAAGGCAUUAAUGACAGGAUCACCUGAAUCCUUGAAGAGCUCUGUGGUUGCUCUGUGAGAUCUGUGUUCAUCUCCAUGACUAGCCUAGGGCUUUGUUAGUUGAGAACAUAAAAAUUGCUGUCUUAAGUUACUGAGGUGCAGGCCAUUC
rnacentral:lncRNA from 1 species